CCUACGGGAGGCUGCAGUGGGGGAUAUUGCACAAUGGGGGAAACCCUGAUGCAGCGACGCCGCGUGGGCGAAGAAGUAUUUCGGUAUGUAAAGCCCUAUCAGCAGGGAAGAAGAAAUGACGGUACCUGAGUAAGAAGCACCGGCUAACUACGUGCCAGCAGCCGCGGUAAUACGUAGGGGGCGAGCGUUAUCCGGAUUCACUGGGUGUAAAGGGAGCGUAGACGGCCGUGCAAGCCAGGAGUGAAAGCCCGGGGCCCAACCCCGGGACUGCUCUUGGAACUGUGCGGCUGGAGUGCGGGAGGGGCAGGCGGAAUUCCUGGUGUAGCGGUGAAAUGCGUAGAUAUCAGGAGGAACACCGGCGGCGAAGGCGGCCUGCUGGACCGCGACUGACGUUGAGGCUCGAAAGCGUGGGGAGCGAACAGGAUUAGAUACCCCGGUAGUC
rnacentral:rRNA from 1 species